rnacentral:rRNA from 1 species
GUGGCGGACGGGUGAGUAACACGUGGGUAACCUGCCCUUAAGUGGGGGAUAACAUUUGGAAACAGAUGCUAAUACCGCAUAGAUCCAAGAACCGCAUGGUUCUUGGCUGAAAGAUGGCGUAAGCUAUCGCUUUUGGAUGGACCCGCGGCGUAUUAGCUAGUUGGUGAGGUAAUGGCUCACCAAGGCGAUGAUACGUAGCCGAACUGAGAGGUUGAUCGGCCACAUUGGGACUGAGACACGGCCCAAACUCCUACGGGAGGCAGCAGUAGGGAAUCUUCCACAAUGGACGCAAGUCUGAUGGAGCAACGCCGCGUGAGUGAAGAAGGCUUUCGGGUCGUAAAACUCUGUUGUUGGAGAAGAAUGGUCGGCAGAGUAACUGUUGCCGGCGUGACGGUAUCCAACCAGAAAGCCACGGCUAACUACGUGCCAGCAGCCGCGGUAAUACGUAGGUGGCAAGCGUUAUCCGGAUUUAUUGGGCGUAAAGCGAGCGCAGGCGGUUUUUUAAGUCUGAUGUGAAAGCCCUCGGCUUAACCGAGGAAGCGCAUCGGAAACUGGGAAACUUGAGUGCAGAAGAGGACAGUGGAACUCCAUGUGUA